CCAGACUCCUACGGGAGGCAGCAGUGGGGGCUCUUGCACAAUGGUUUGCCCCCUGAUGCCGCGCCGCCGCGUGGGUCCAGAAGCGCCUCGGCGCGUAAAGCCCUGUCAGCAGGGAAGCAAAUGACGGUCCCUGAAGAAGAAGCCCCGGCUAACUACGUGCCAGCAGCCGCGGUAAUACGUAGGGGGCAAGCGUUGUCCGGAAUUACUGGGCGUAAAGGGCGCGUAGGUGGGCGCUUAAGUCAGGUGUGAAAACUCCGGGCUCAACCGGGAGACUGCACUUGAAACUGGGUGUCUUGAGGGCAGGAGAGGAAAGGGGAAUUCCUAGGGGAGCGGUGAAAGGCGGAGAUAUUAGGAGGAACACCAGUGGCGAAGGCGACUUUCGGGACGGUACCUGACGCUGAGGCGCGAAAGCGUGGGUAGCGAACGGGAUUAGAUACCCCUGUA
rnacentral:rRNA from 1 species